rnacentral:rRNA from 1 species
UACGUAGGGUGCGAGCGUUAAUCGGAAUCAUUGGGCGUAAAGCGCGUGUAGGUGGCUUGGCAAGUCGGUUGUGAAAUCCCGGGGCCCAACCCCGGAACUGCAUUCGAAACUGCCUCGCUAGAGUCCCGGAGAGGAAGGCGGAAUUCCCGGUGUAGAGGUGAAAUUCGUAGAUAUCGGGAGGAACACCAGCGGCGAAGGCGGCCUUCUGGACGGUGACUGACACUGAGACGCGAAAGCGUGGGGAGCAAACAGG